rnacentral:rRNA from 1 species
CCCUUAGAUGUUCUGGGCCGCACGCGCGCUACACUGAUGCAUUCAACGAGUCUAAAACCUGCUCUGAUAGGGGUGGGUAAUCUUUUGAAUGUGCAUCGUGAUUGGGAUAGAUGAUUGCAAUUUUUCAUCUUCAACGAGGAAUGCCUAGUAAACGCAAGCCAUCAGCCUGCAUUGAUUACGUCCCUGCCCUUUGUACACACCGCCCGUCGCUCCUACCGAUUGAAUGAUCCGAUGAAUAUCAUGGAUUGAGGAUGCAAGUAGGUUAGCCUAUCUUCAUCUUCGAGAAGUGAAGUAAAUCUUAUCAUUUAGAGGAAGGAGAAGUCGUAACA